rnacentral:tRNA from 1 species
GGAGAUGUGGCUCAGUGGUAGAGCUCCUGCCCUGCAUGCAGAAGGUCCUGGGUUUGAUCCCCAGCACCUUGG